GCCUACGGGAGGCAGCAGUGAGGAAUAUUGGUCAAUGGACGCAAGUCUGAACCAGCCAUGCCGCGUGCAGGAUGACGGCUCUAUGAGUUGUAAACUGCUUUUGUACGAGGGUAAACCCCGCUACGUGUAUCGGGUUGAAAGUAUCUUACGAAUAAGGAUCGGCUAACUCCGUGCCAGCAGCCGCGGUAAUACGGAGGAUCCGAGCGUUAUCCGGAUUUAUUGGGUUUAAAGGGUGCGUAGGCGGUUUGAUAAGUUAGCGGUGAAAUUUCGGCUCUCAACCCC
rnacentral:rRNA from 1 species